rnacentral:misc_RNA from 1 species
AACCUAGCACACCUGCGGUGUGUACCUGCGGAAGGAUCAUUAACGAAUGGUCUUGGUACCUUCAAAACCCUUCAAACCAGUGGACAUGAAAAAAUGUGCUUCGGCGCUCCGGCGCCGCUUUUAUGCCGUAAUUCUGCCUUUUGUGUCUGAAUGUAAAGUAAAGAAUCAAAACUUUUAGCAAUGGAUCU